rnacentral:rRNA from 1 species
UACGUAGGGUGCAAGCGUUGUCCGGAAUUAUUGGGCGUAAAGAGCUCGUAGGCGGUUUGUCGCGUCGAAUGUGAAAACCCGGGGGCUCAACCCCGGGCCUGCAUUCGAUACGGGCAGACUAGAGUUCGGUAGGGGAGUCUGGAAUUCCUGGUGUAGCGGUGAAAAUGUCGCAGAUAUCAGGAGGAACACCGGUGGCGAAGGGCGGGGACUCUGGGGCCGAUACUGACGCUGAGGAGCGAAAAGCGUUGGGGGAGCAAAACAGGA